rnacentral:rRNA from 1 species
GACGAACGCUGGCGGCGUGCUUAACACAUGCAAGUCGAACGGAAAGGCCCUGCUUUUGUGGGGUGCUCGAGUGGCGAACGGGUGAGUAACACGUGAGUAACCUGCCCUUGACUUUGGGAUAACUUCAGGAAACUGGGGCUAAUACCGGAUAGGAGCUCCUGCUGCAUGGUGGGGGUUGGAAAGUUUCGGCGGUUGGGGAUGGACUCGCGGCUUAUCAGCUUGUUGGUGGGGUAGUGGCUUACCAAGGCUUUGACGGGUAGCCGGCCUGAGAGGGUGGCCGGCCACCUUGGGACUGAGAUACGGCCCAGACUCCUACGGGAGGCAGCAGUGGGGAAUAUUGCACAAUGGGCGGACGCCUGAUGCAGCAACGCCGCGUGCGGGAUGACGGCCUUCGGGUUGUAAACCGCUUUCGCCUGUGACGAAGCGUGAGUGACGGUAAUGGGUAAAGAAGCACCGGCUAACUACGUG